rnacentral:rRNA from 1 species
CAGUCGCCGCGGGAAUACGUAGGGUGCAAGCGUUAAUCGGAAUUACUGGGCGUAAAGCGUGCGCAGGCGGUUAUAUAAGACAGAUGUGAAAUCCCCGGGCUCAACCUGGGAACUGCAUUUGGGACUGUAUAGCUAGAGUACGGCAGAGGGGGAUGGAAUUCCGCGUGUAGCAGUGAAAUGCGUAGAUAUGCGGAGGAACACCGAUGGCGAAGGCAAUCCCCUGGGCCUGUACUGACGCUCAUGCACGAAAGCGUGGGGAGCAAACAGGAUUAGAUACCCCAGUAGUCCCUGUCUCUUAUAA